CUCAAGGUGUGGACGAUGCAGCAGAAGAAGAAGCAUCUCACAGAGGCAGCUUGCAUGGCAAAGCAGUUGUGCUCCUCUAAAUAUACAAUUAAGUGGUAAGGCUGCCAGGAAGGAGGAAGUGUAACCACUGGUGGUCACCGCCAACAUGGAGUGAUAGAAUCUUGGAUACUACAUCACUUCCCCUGAGAUUUUCAGAUGUUACAUCACUUUUCUUCAAUGAUUGCCUGUGAGUGCAAUUUCCAGGUUACUUAAAAAAUAAUAAUUUAAAAG